rnacentral:misc_RNA from 1 species
GAAAUGCGAUAAGUAAUGUGAAUUGCAGAAUUCCGUGAAUCAUCGAAUCUUUGAACGCACAUUGCGCCCUCUGGUAUUCCGGGGGGCAUGCCUGUCCGAGCGUCAUUGCAACCCCUCAAGCACGGCUUGUGUGAUGGGCCCUCCCGCGUCUUGGUCGUCAAGACGGGCCCGAAAUGCAGUGGCGGCUUCGCGGUUAUCCGAUCAGCCAGAGCGUAUGGGGACUCUCUCUCUUGUCACACGCCCGCGGCGCGGACCGACGCCUGUCGACCUUUAUUCAUCUUCUCUCGGUUGACCUCGGAUCAGGUAGGGAUACCCGCUGAACUUAAGC